rnacentral:lncRNA from 1 species
CACAGCAAACAAAUCAAAUAAAUAAAGGCAAAAGUCUUAACAUUAAGACCCUUUAGUCUUUAGUGCCGGAUGGUGUAUAAGAGACAGUCACCCAACAGCUUGGAUGUGCUGAUGCGAUUUCUCCUCUCUGUGAUAAUUUGUCCUGUUUUUGAGAAAACUCUCUCUGAGGAGACCGAUGUUGAAACAAUGCAGUGUCUUUCUACCUUAUGCGCUUGCGUUUAAAUCGGGCUCACGCCUCUGUGUACCUGGCCUGUGUCGUUUUUUUUUUGUUUGUUUUUUUUUUUUUUGUAAAGAAAACCUGCAUCAAAAAUAAGGAAUUUAUGAAAACAAUGAAUAAAAACGUGCUUACCAACACACAAACCAUUCACAAUUGCUAAACUGGGCUAAAAUAGAAGGCUCCAGCUGAAGAUUCGGCUCUUCCAGACGGGAGUCGGCUCUUCUCGUUCGCUACAAAGAAUCGGCUCGUUCACGAACGACACAUCACUACUAAACUGCACUACUUAAAACAAACCUCACCGAUUCAUCAGCUUUUUCUUGAUUUAAUGAACUGCUUCGUGCACAAGCGGUAGCUCUAAUUACCUCAACAUUAGCGAUUUUCGUCAAAUAUAUCGACUAAUCCAAAAAGAUGAACAUCCUCCCGAGAACACGCGUUUCUUAUUUACAGCAACUCUAAACAGUGAAGAUCCACGAAACAAAUUCAGAAAAGAGAAACGAAGAAGCUCACCGAGAAGGAAUAGGCUUUUUCUAAGCUUCGUUUGUCCAGCACAGAUUCUACAACUGUCAUUUUACCAAAGCAAAGAACAGCCUGAAGUGUUUGCAGAUCAGAAGAUCAACAUGAAUCAGAGAUCACCCGCGAGAGGCCGUCAAUAUCAGCUCUUCAACCCAAGUGAGAUCCAUCCUAAUCCAAAACACGUAAUUCAGCAAAAUGUUGGAAGUGAUGAAAUCCCCCGUAAGAAGCUGUCGUGCUCUCAGCUCAUUCACUUUCUGAAAACAGCAGCAAAUCAAAACUGCGUCUGAACUGCCGUCAUCAGCGUAGCACUGCAUCAGUGUCUCAUCAGUGGAUGCUCUGCAGUGAAUGGGUGCCGUCAGAAUGAGAGUCCAAACAGCUGAUAAAAACAUCACAAUAAUCCACAAGUAAUCCACAGCACUCCAGUCCAUCAGUUAACAUCUGGAGAAGACAAAAGAUGAAACAAAUCCAGCAUUAAGACGUAUUUAGCUCAAAGUGUCGCUUCUGGCCAAAGUAUUUCUCUGUUUUGACUCUCAUGAUGAGCAAGUGAUUUAAUACUAAAUUUCUCCAAAUCUGUUCCA